AUUGGUGUUCACAUCUUUCCUCUCUGUAGGGAAAAGGGCUGGCUGCAGGAAGGGGAUCAGAUCAUGGUGUUUGUUGCCCAGUGACUUCUGGGGGGACUUUAAGUCAGAACAGCCUCUGGUAUCUGCUCUGAGUUUCUGCUACUUUCGUCACUAAUGACUUAAGCUGCUGUAUCCCAUGCUGUGCUCAUGAAUGAGACUGCCUCUGCUUCAAGGACGCUUCCAGGCAGCAGCAAGUGAUGAGAGAAUCCAAUUAAUUACUGAAUGUUUUCCGGCAAUCUGGCUGUCUCGUAGCUCAGUGCAAACACUGAGCUGCUUCUAAUUGCAGGUUCAGCAGCUUUUAUUUUAGUCAAGGUUUGUUAAGACAACAGCCAGUAAGUCACCUAUGGCAGCCUUAUGUACUUAACUGUGUGAACUGCCCCCUGCCUGAACCCAGGCCUCAGGAGGAGAUUAGUGUGUUCUAAAUCAAAACUAAGAUUAACUAGAAAAUGACCUAAUGUUCUAAUUAAUCCCCUUUUCCUUCAAAAACUGUUCCUGCAUAAUUUGACAUUCUUUUGAAGUACAGAUAAUCCAUUUCUUCACAAGAUGUUAAAAUGCCUGCUUUGAAAACAGCGUUUUAAAAUAUGUUUCAGCAGUGGAAUACGUUUAUCUUUAGGGGCAGGUAGAGGGGCAGUUCUCAGUCACAAAACACAGAGGCAGUACAACUGCAAAAGAAUGUUUUUGUUUAAAACCCUGUGCAUAACUGUCCAAAGAAUCCAAAGCCAUGUUGCAGUCAUACUGCCACAAUGCUCAGGGUUAGGAAGUUACUCUGCUCUACCAACAGCAUCUUCUGGGAGCUGCAGCGUACUGUUUCUGAUUAAAUUACAGCUACAGCUCCCACAUCAGCCUCAAGUUGUGCUUUCACUGUCCCUUGAACAGUUUCAUCACCCAUAGUGGGACUUGAAGUCAGUAAAGGCAAGUUGUAGUUUCAGUCCAGGGCACAAACAUGCUAUGCAACACCAAAUGGCUUCUUCCCACAGAGUCCUAAUUCCUUUACAGUAAGCGUACCAGCUUUAUCUCAGCCAGACGCGAUCCAUGAAACCUUCUGGUGGCUGGAGUUUACCUAUGGCUUUCCACAGUUCUGUUUUCCUUUUGAAUAAGGAUCCAGCAUACAGCCCAGGACUGGAU
rnacentral:lncRNA from 1 species